rnacentral:rRNA from 1 species
UACGAAGGGGGCUAGCGUUGCUCGGAAUCACUGGGCGUCAAGGGCGCGUAGGCGGAUUGUUAAGUCAGGGGUGAAAUCCUGGAGCUCAACUCCAGAACUGCCUUUGAUACUGGCGAUCUUGAGUCCGGGAGAGGUGAGUGGAACUGCGAGUGUAGAGGUGAAAUUCGUAGAUAUUCGCAAGAACACCAGUGGCGAAGGCGGCUCACUGGCCCGGUACUGACGCUGAGGUGCGAAAGCGUGGGGAGCAAACAGG